ensembl:lncRNA
UCUCUCUCUCUCUACAUCUCUCUCUCUACAUAUCUCUCUCUCUACAUAUCUCUCUACAUAUCUCUCUGUCUGAUGUGAAUUUGUUGGUAACAUGUUAGUAUAGGGGGUAUGUAUAAAUGUAUCUGAUAUAGUCACUAGCCAUGCAGAGCCUCUUCGUAAGCAUUACAGAGACGUCACUGCAAUCCCAGGGUGGCGUUCAGGAGGGCACUGCAUACUGAACACUGCUGUUAUAAAUGGAUGUGUCAUGAUUCUUUACUCUACAUGUCAGAGUAUGUUCUCUCUGUCUCUACAUCGCUCUCUCCAGGGCUGUUUACCUGCUACCUGUGUUUAGGUCCUAAUACCGAGGUGGUACCUGGUAGUUUCAGGGGCUUCUACCUGCUCUCCGUGUUUAGGUCCUAAUACCGAGGUGGUACCUGGUAGUUUCAGGGCCUUCUACCUGCUACCUGCUCUCUGUGUUUAGGUCCUAAUACCGAGGUGGUACCUGGUAGUUUCAGGGCCUUCUACCUGCUACUUGCUCUCUGUGUUUAGGUCCUAAUACCAAGGUGGUACCUGGUUGUUUCAGGGCCUUCUACCUGCUCUGGAUAACUGUGGCUGCUUCAGGAGGUUGUAUGGUCUUUUUGUAUCUGGGGGACAGCGAGCUGGGUUGGGGACUGGGUGGGUGGCGUUUUGGGAUAUAUUAGCGGUGUUUCCGUACAGAGAACUAAUGUUUUUGUUGUGUUUUUAAAAACAUGUCCAGCAGAGGAGGUCAUGAAGCUGUUUUCUAUAAACCCACGAUCCUGUUGUAUUUGUUGACAUUGUGUGACUCAAAUGGUACCCUAUUUCCCUAUGUAGUGCACUACUUUUGACAAGGGCCCAUAGGGAAUAGAGUGCACGUUAGGACAGAACCAUAUUGAUGUCACUUCACCUGACUGAUCUGGGAGCCAUGACAACAUAUCAUUGGUAAAUCAUCACAGUGGAUGGAGUAAGGUCUACUGUUCCUCUCCUGUUCCCUUUGACCGAAAUGGCAAACUAGGGCUUUGAUACAUAAUAAUUAGGGUGCUCCAAUGACAAACAAACGUGCUAUGAUACGAGGACAUUAUGUUAUAGUAACCUGAAGAGACAGACUUCAUCUCUUUGUUAUCCUUCUCUAGUCUGCUUGGCUUUCAUUCUGUUCUCCUAGAAAACGCUUGAUGUUAACAGCAGGGUUGGGCUCAAUUCCUCUUCACUUCAAUCAGAUCAGGAAGUGGAAUAAUCUCUAAAUCUUCCAUCUCCCUUAGGCGGAUGAAUCUCUUCUGUCCUGUGUGCUGUGACUUCUUCAAGGAUCCAGUUGUUUUUUGAAAACAAUGAACAAUUUUCUAUUCCUGAUUUGAGUUUGAAUCCACCUCCUCCUGAAUUGAUUAAGGCUAAAAUUGACCCCUAACCCUGCUUCACUGAAACAUUUAAUUAGCUCAGCGGGCUAACAGUCCAGUUCAAUACAACUAGGCUGGUUAUUCUUUCUGUAUAUUGUCCAGGAAUUUUGUUCAUGCCAACAUCUCAACCACAUUUUGGGAGAAGAAUGAAUGAAUGGUUCAUUAACAGGUCAGAUGUCAUCAGCUGUGUGGAAGUUAUGUCUGUACAUAAACCAACCAGCUCCAUUCAUCACCUUCAAGCUUAGUGUGAGAUAGAAGAGGGACCCAAAUCGGGUUUUCUCCCCCCAAAAAUGUUUCAGAACGACGAUACCGUGGAAGAAAAAUGUGCAAAUGUACUUUUUAGAAGCAUGUUCAGUUUUACAGUUUGACAACAUCCUUUGUAUAAAUAUCAGUUGUUAUUGUUGAAAGUGUAAAUGGAAAUAAACAAAACAAUGUGUGUUCAACAUGGAACCCCAUGAUAUCUUUCCCCCCUAGGGUACAGGUUAAUGAUGGCUCUAGGUACAGGUUAAUGAUGGCUCUAGGUACAGGUUAAUGAUAUCUACAGGUUAAUGAUAUCACAGGUUAAAUACAGCCCCAUGAUAUCUUUCCCCCCUAGGGUACAGGUUAAUGAUAUCUACAGGUUAAAUACAGCCCCAUGAUAUCUUUCCCCCUAGAUACAGGUUAAUGAUAUCUACAGGUUAAUGAUAUCUAC